rnacentral:lncRNA from 1 species
CCUAUCAAGAGAUGGUUAAUUUUGCUAAGCUUAAAGAAAGACUUAGGUUAGGGGGAGAUGAUAGUUAUCCAUACUAUACUCGGAAGCUAAUCACAUUAACACUUAGCUUUUAGUGGAAGAAUUUGAUUUGGAUCUUUUGAGAGUGGAAAUUCUUUUGAUGCUUAAACUUGCAUAAUAUCCAUUCUUUGUACUCUAUGAUCAAGUGAAUGCUUUGACAACUCUUAUUAUAGGUUGAGUUUCACAUCUUUAUUGAUCCAUGGAUGUCCA